GGCUGCUAUCACAGAUCCCAAAAGUGUUGUGAAAUUGAUGGAGCUUUUGAAGUUCACUCUUUUAUCUGUCUUUUCUUUCCAUUUCCGUGGAAGUUUUUCCCCAGAUGGAUGCACAGAUCCAUAGAAGAUAAAUAGUGGUUGCUAAGACAACAGAGUCUACACAGGAGUGGAAAACUACGUGAAGCCAGGACUGCAAACUCAGAGGGCGAGCAUACAUACUGCACCAGGAAUCUUGGCAGCCCAACCCACGCCUACAAAACCCUCCUGCACUGUGUGGUCAAGGACUUAAGUUCUAAAGGAAAAUGCAAACCGCCUGGAAAGGAAACCAUACAUGUCUGUCUCCUCGGGCUCCAUAGGAAGAAAUCCAUGGGCUGCAUCUUGCAAAAAGCCACGCAAAGCACUAACAAGAGACAAGAGGGAUUAUGCCUAAGGAGGCCACCCAGAUUUACCUUUCCAUUACUCAGUCCAUGGUAAAAACUCUGGAGACAUUAAGUAACUUGGUCCGGAAAAAUUGGUCAGCGACAUCAUCACACAGGACAAGAAGAAUCUUGUGGGAUUUCAAAUUCCUGGCACAGAAAACCAAUCGCCUCAUUACUGGCAAAGGUGGCGUCCAACGACCCAGAAAGCAGCAGGGGGGACAGUGGUGAACAGCCCCAGUCAGCUUCCCCAGGCUGGCCCUUGUUACAAGCUUCCACGACCACCAUGAAGAGUCCUACAAUUUCCAGAAGCUUUGUUUUUCGGUGAGUUUUUUUUCCCCCACCAUGAUUGCUGCUGCCAUGCAUUCUGUACUCUGCCCACUUAAUGCACAAGGACACUGUCGCGUGGCCAACAUGUACUGAGCCUACAAUUCCCCACCUUGGGUGAACCUGGAAGCGCACAGGUCAACAAUCAUUUCUUCAAGCAGAGUGAAGGCAGUGAAACUCAAAUCCACUCAUAAUGGUUGGAUCUGGGUGCCUGACACAGAAGAACAGAUCUUCUGGGCUUCCGCAAAGGGUAGGGAGCCCACGC